GCCAGCAUGGCAUAGUGGUUUGAGGAGCCUUGGACUAUGACUCUGGAGGCCAAGGUUCAAGUCCCUGCUCAGCCA